AUGAGUGGCGAACGGGUGAGUAACACGUGAGUAACCUGCCCUCUUCUUUGGGAUAACGCCCGGAAACGGGUGCUAAUACUGGAUAUUCACUGAUCUUCGCAUGGGGGUUGGUGGAAAGGUUUUUUCUGGUGGGGGAUGGGCUCGCGGCCUAUCAGCUUGUUGGUGGGGUGAUGGCCUACCAAGGCUUUGACGGGUAGCCGGCCUGAGAGGGUGGCCGGUCACAUUGGGACUGAGAUACGGCCCAG
rnacentral:rRNA from 1 species